CAAUAGCGUAUAUUUAAGUUGCUGCAGUUAAAAAGCUCGUAGUUGGAUUUCGGGUGGGAAUGGCCGGUCCGCCGUUUCGGUGUGCACUUGCUACGCCCACCUUGCUGCCGGGGACGUGCUCUUGAGUUCACGCUCGGGACACGGAGUCGGCGAGGUUACUCUGAGUAAAUUAGAGUGUCCAAAGCAGGCCUACGCUCUGAAUACAUUAGCAUGGAAUAACACGAUAGGACUCUGGCCUAUCUUGUUGGUCUGUAGGACCGGAGUAAUGAUUAAGAGGGACAGUCGGGGGCAUUCGUAUUUCAUUGUCAGAGGUGAAAUUCUUGGAUUUAUGAAAGACGAACCACUGCGAAAGCAUUUGCCAAGGAUGUUUUCAUUAA
rnacentral:rRNA from 1 species